GAUGAACGCUGGCGGCGUGCCUAACACAUGCAAGUCGAGCGAUUCUCUUUGGAGAAGAGCGGCGGACGGGUGAGUAACGCGUGGGUAACCUGCCCUGUACACACGGAUAACAUACCGAAAGGUAUGCUAAUACGAGAUAAUAUGCUUUUAUCGCAUGGUAGAAGUAUCAAAGCUUUUGCGGUACAGGAUGGACCCGCGUCUGAUUAGCUAGUUGGUAAGGUAACGGCUUACCAAGGCGACGAUCAGUAGCCGACCUGAGAGGGUGAUCGGCCACAUUGGAACUGAGACACGGUCCAAACUCCUACGGGAGGCAGCAGUGGGGAAUAUUGCACAAUGGGCGAAAGCCUGAUGCAGCAACGCCGCGUGAGCGAUGAAGGCCUUCGGGUCGUAAAGCUCUGUCCUCAAGGAAGAUAAUGACGGUGCUUGAGGAGGAAGCCCCGGCUAACUACGUGCCAGCCGCCGCGGUAA
rnacentral:rRNA from 1 species